rnacentral:rRNA from 1 species
UACGAAGGGGGCUAGCGUUGCUCGGAAUGACUGGGCGUAAAGGGCGCGUAGGCGGAUGACACAGUCAGAUGUGAAAUUCCCGGGCUUAACCUGGGGGCUGCAUUUGAUACGUGUUGUCUAGAGUGAGGAAGAGGGUUGUGGAAUUCCCAAUGUAGAGGUGAAAUUCGUAGAUAUUGGGAAGAACACCGGUGGCGAAGGCGGCAACCUGGUCCUUGACUGACGCUGAGGCGCGAAAGCAUGGGGGAGCAAACAGG